AUUGAACGCUGGCGGCAUGCCUUACACAUGCAAGUCGAACGGUAACGGGCCUUCGGGUGCCGACGAGUGGCGAACGGGUGAGUAAUACAUCGGAACGUGCCCGAUCGUGGGGGAUAACGAGGCGAAAGCUUUGCUAAUACCGCAUACGAUCUACGGAUGAAAGCAGGGGACCGCAAGGCCUUGCGCGGACGGAGCGGCCGAUGGCAGAUUAGGUAGUUGGUGGGAUAAAAGCUUACCAAGCCGACGAUCUGUAGCUGGUCUGAGAGGAUGAUCAGCCACACGGGGACUGGACCCCGGCCCAGCCCCCCAGGGGGGGCCGCUGGGGGGAAUUUUGGCAAAUGGGCGCAAGCCUGACCCAGCCAUGCCGCGGGCAGGAUGAAGGCCUUCGGGUUGUAAACUUCUUUUGUACGGAACGAAAACCCUUUUUUUAAAACAGGGGGGUCAUGCCGGUACCGUAAAAAUAAGCCCCGGCUACCUACGU
rnacentral:rRNA from 1 species